UGACUCCACCCCUUUACUAGCGCUGAUAAGCAUCUACAGCACAACAAAGCAUGCGUCCGGUUUCUGCAACGUUGUAACUUCAUUAUUGUAAUUUYACUGGAURUACGGAAUAUUCGGUUGCGUUGGAUUUAACUAAUUAUAGUUCUUCAUUGAUGGUAUUUCUAUUUUAGUGUGUACCAUGACAACAGAGGCUAGCGCGGUGGGUGAGGCGGACACAGAGGGAAAGCCGAAGCCCAGCGUGCAGAGGCAGAGAGAAAACCGGAGAACAAGCAGAGCUCAGAGGCAGAGAUACAA